ensembl:ncRNA asRNA:CR45469 antisense RNA:CR45469
AGUCAUUGAUUUUUUUCACGCUGCGAAAAGUGACGGGGUCUGUGGAUAAUAGUUACCAUUGCUGGGCUCGGCCAGUUUGGCCUGAGACGCCGAGGAGCUGUCCAUGUCGAUGGUGUUGAUGGUGUCGCCAUCGCCGGAGGCCAUCGUGCAGCUCCUGCUCUGCUAUCGUAUUCUCUUCUCUUCUCUGCACUCUUCCCACGUCUAGGACUUCACUAGGACAUGCUGGCUGGCUGGGAUUGUGGACUUGGGCUAUUCGAGGGCUGCUUUCACGUUUUCCGAUCCUCGGCGAUUAUCCAAUCGAGUGGGCUAACUGGGUGGCAGGAACCUUGGCUCUCGUCUGGCGCUGGCGUCAACGUUUCUGCUGUCUACGGUGAUGGUGAUGUUGAUGGCUCCUCUGCCACUGCUGUCAUUUUCACUGCAUACUCAUAGGCACACUGGAAGGCUGGAAGGUCGGCAGGGCUGGAAGGGUGUGCGCAGGAACAGGCACGCAGGGUUGCAUUCACAGUCAGACGGUGAAGCGGAGCAUCCGCACUGUUGUAAAAUCCGCAAAUAGCAAUGUUUUUAAAGCUUAUAAGCCUUUGACGCGUGGAAAUAU